AGUACAAUUCUAAAAGCUUAUGAUAGCAAAUUUCUUUAACACCAAUGUUUCAAUAAAUUAAAAAGUAGCAAAAUCAACCACAUCUCUCCAGUCUGUUUAAGAAGAUUCUAAAGACAAAAAGGAGCACAGAUAGUAUAGUAACUAAAUAAAUAUUCAAAUUUGGACUAACUAAAAGUAAAGAAAACAUACAAUAUAACUAAGGUAAUCUAAAGAGUCUCAUUAAGACCAAAAAGGGUAAUGUUACCUACUCUUAAAAAAAAAAAA